UGGAUUUUGCAGGAGGGCGCACGACCGGGCUUUGCUCAGGCCGCGCGCCUACCUGUUUUUUGUCGGGGACUACGCCACUCUUAACUGGGGGGCGCUAGGACGCGGCUCGUUUACUUUGAAAAAAUUAGAGUGUUCAAAGCAGGCCUUUGCUUGAAUACAUUAGCAUGGAAUAAUGGAAUAGGACUUUGGUUCUAUUUUGUUGGUUUCUGGAACCGAAGUAAUGAUUAAUAGGGAUAGUUGGGGGCGUUUAUAUUUCCAUGUCAGAGGUGAAAUUCUUGGAUUUUGGAAAGGUAAACUUCUGCGAAAGCAUUCGCCAAGGAUGUUUUCAUUAAUCAAGAACGAAAGUUAGGGGAUCGAAGACGAUCAGAUACCGUCGUAGUCUUAACCAUAAACUAUGCCGACUAGGGAUCAGUGGACGUUAUUUUAUGACUCCAUUGGCACCUUGUGAGAAAUCAAAGUUUUUGGGUUCCGGGGGGAGUAUGGUCGCAAGGCUGAAACUUAAAGGAAUUGACGGAAGG
rnacentral:rRNA from 1 species